GAUGAACGCUAGCGACAGGCCUAACACAUGCAAGUCGAGGGGCAGCACGAGGUAGCAAUACUAGGGUGGCGACCGGCGGACGGGUGAGUAACACGUAUGCAACCUGCCCGUAAUCGGGGGAUAACCCGGAGAAAUUCGGACUAACACUCCAUGUAUCUGUAUUAUUGCAUGAUAAAACAGAAAAACGCAAGGAUUACGGAUGAGCCCGCGUACCAUUAGCUAGUUGGCAGGGUAAUGGCCUACCAAGGCUACGAUGGUUAGCUGGUCUGAGAGGAUGGCCAGCCACACUGGAACUGAGACACGGUCCAGACUCCUACGGGAGGCAGCAGUGAGGAAUCUUGCGCAAUGGGGGAAACCCUGACGCAGCAACGCCGCGUGAGUGAGGAAGGCCUUCGGGUCGUAAAGCUCUGUCCUUGGGGAAGAAGGCGAAAGCUUGACGGUACCCAAGAAGAAAGCCCCGGCUAACUACGUG
rnacentral:rRNA from 1 species